rnacentral:tRNA from 1 species
UCCCUGGUAGUCCAGUGGCUAAGCCUCUGGCACUCCCAAUGCAGGGGACCUGGGUUCAAUCCCUGGUCAGGGAA